rnacentral:tRNA from 1 species
GGGCGUUUAGCGCAGUGGUAGCGCGUAUGCUUUGCAGGCCCUGCAGUUAAAAGCGCAGAUUCUUAGUUGUAUAAGGUCCAGGGUUCAAUCCCCUGAACGUCCA